rnacentral:rRNA from 1 species
CCUACGGGAGGCAGCAGUGGGGAAUAUUGGACAAUGGGGGGAACCCUGAUCCAGCCAUGCCGCGUGUGUGAAGAAGGCCCUCGGGUUGUAAAGCACUUUCAGUGAGGAAGAACGCCUGGUGGUUAAUACCCAUCAGGAAAGACAUCACUCACAGAAGAAGCACCGGCUAACUCCGUGCCAGCAGCCGCGGUAAUACGGAGGGUGCGAGCGUUAAUCGGAAUUACUGGGCGUAAAGCGCGCGUAGGUGGCUUGAUAAGCCGGUUGUGAAAGCCCCGGGCUCAACCUGGGAACGGCGUCCGGAACUGUCAAGCUAGAGUGCAGGAGAGGAAGGUAGAAUUCCCGGUGUAGCGGUGAAAUGCGUAGAGAUCGGGAGGAAUACCAGUGGCGAAGGCGGCCUUCUGGACUGACACUGACACUGAGGUGCGAAAGCGUGGGUAGCAAACAGGAUUAGAUACCCCAGUAGUC